rnacentral:ncRNA from 1 species
AACGACACUCAGACACACUGUUCCGACUCACAAUUUCCUCCAGCAAUUAGAAUCGUUUUCUUGCUCAAUCGAAUUAUUGAUUUAUUUGUUUAGUUUUGCUUGUAUAUCUGGUGCCAGCAGCCGCGGUAACUCCAAGUCCAAAAUAGUAUAUUAAAGUUACUGUAGUUAAAAUGCUCGUAGUUGGAUGUGGGUCAUGCGGUCGCAUGCCAUAUCUUGUCCACUGUUUUAGGUACGAUCAGGACCAGUGUUUUGCUCGGUGUAGUGACUUGUCGGUAUGCUUCCGGAUGCUUUUAAACGGAUGUCGAGAGCGGACGGCAUGUCUACUUUGAGUGCUCAAAGCAGGCCUAUGCGCCUGAAAAUCCUUGCAUGGAAUAAUGACAUAGGACUUCGUUUCUGUUUGAAUGAAGCAUACACCCAGCUUCGUUCUAGACUGAAUGUACUCUGACUUAGUGCUAUUUACUUUAGGCUUCAGCAGUUAUUGAUUUGAA